rnacentral:ncRNA from 2 species
GUUCAGCAUAUAGGGGGCCUCGGGUUGAUAGUAAAAUAUCACUCGGGGCUUUUCU